CGUAGCUCAGCUGGAUAGAGCGCUGCCCUCCGAAGGCAGAGGUCACAAGUUCGAAUCUUGUCGGGUGCGCCA
rnacentral:tRNA from 1 species